GACGAACCGUGCGAACGUUGUUCGGAAUUACUGGGCGUAAAGGGCGCGUAGGUGGUUCUUUAAGUCUGCUGUGAAAUCCCCGGGCUCAACCUGGGAAUGGCAGUGGAUACUGGAGAGCUAGAGUGCGGUAGAGGGUAGUGGAAUUCCCGGUGUAGCAGUGAAAUGCGUAGAGAUCGGGAGGAACACCAGUGGCGAAGGCGGCUACCUGGACCAGCACUGACACUGAGGAGCGAAAGCGUGGGGAGCGAACAGG
rnacentral:rRNA from 1 species